GCCGCCGGGCGCGCCUCUGCCUGACGGAGUCCCAGGUCUAAGCUGAGGAGAGAGUCUAAGCUUGGGGCCCAAGGCUGGAGUUCCCCAGGUAGGGGGGGCUGUGAUGCGAGCGACACCCGGCCCAGCACCGCCAGGCUGGGGACACUCCACUCCUUCAUCAAUUUAUUCCAAAAUAUUUUGAACCCCUCCUAUGCUUCAGGCGGCGUCAUAAGCGGUGGGGACAAAAGAACGAGAUCGUCUCGUGCCCUUGCGGAGUUCACGGUCUAGAAAAGGAAACAACUAAUGGACAACUACACUGCAGAACCAAGAGGGAGCGGUCAUAGAGGGGGCCCUGAACCAGACUUGGGGAGGUCAGGGAAGGCUUCUGGAGGAGCUGGUGGCUAAAAUAACUGAAGGAUGUGCAUGAAUUAUCCGGUUGGAGUGACCUGGGGAGGUAGAUUGUCCCAGGUGGAGCCGAAGGGGAGAGGGAGCCGACUGUCUGAAAACUGAAGGGUCUGAGGAGCCGAAAGAACUUGGUAUGGCCACACUUCACGUUCAGAUCCCUGGAAAGAUGCAGAAAGAUUGUGUCUGAGGCUGGAUGUAUUCCACUAGGCGCAUGAUUGGUUGGUGAGGAUUUCGAAUCUCCCACGUGCUGCGCAUUCCCGCUAGUGGAGGAGCUAAGAGGAUACUCGUGGACCGUUCCCUGCAAUUUACCUGAGCGUCUGUGAGUCAGGCACUCUGCAGGACCCUUAGGAUGUGCUGUGGAAGGAGGCAGUGUCGCUAUGCAAAAGGAGCUACAAGUCUGCAGUGGGGGAGAGACCUGUACUCAGCGCUUGGAUGAGGUGCAUGGGAACACAGGCUACAUCACCUUAGACUUAUAAUGACAACAACGAACAUGCAAGUGACUCCCUGCAUCUACCUUCACUACGCCCAUCUGCCUGCAUAUUCUCUGAUGGAUCCACAGUCAAAAAAGGGUUUGAGGCUGGGAACCACGUGCGUAUUGAACGUCCACUGGCUGUGUGGCAGGAGGCUGCCCACGGUCCAUGCCCUCCAGGAAUCUGCAGCCCUGUAGAUGCUUGCUGGUGGCACACGCACCGACUGUGUUUUGCCCAUCUUC